AGCUUUGUGCAGUGGCAGUAUCGUAGCCAAUGAGGUUUAUCCGAGGCGCGAUUAUUGCUAAUAUGAUGGUAGAUUCUAGGUUGUCCCAGGAAGUGAAUAACUUUGAGUUUAUUGCUGAAAUACUUCUCUCUCCCAACAGU
ensembl:snRNA U4 U4 spliceosomal RNA